AUUGAACGCUGGCGGCAGGCCUAACACAUGCAAGUCGGGCGGUAACACGGGGAGCUUGCUCCCGGGUGACGAGCGGCGGACGGGUGAGUAAUGUCUGGGAAACUGCCUGAUGGAGGGGGAUAACUACUGGAAACGGUAGCUAAUACCGCAUAACGUCGCAAGACCAAAGAGGGGGACCUUCGGGCCUCUUGCCAUCAGAUGUGCCCAGAUGGGAUUAGCUAGUAGGUGGGGUAACGGCUCACCUAGGCGACGAUCCCUAGCUGGUCUGAGAGGAUGACCAGCCACACUGGAACUGAGACACGGUCCAGACUCCUACGGGAGGCAGCAGUGGGGAAUAUUGCACAAUGGGCGCAAGCCUGAUGCAGCCAUGCCGCGUGUAUGAAGAAGGCCUUCGGGUUGUAAAGUACUUUCAGCGGGGAGGAAGGUGUUGUGGUUAAUAACCACAGCAAUUGACGUUACCCGCAGAAGAAGCACCGGCUAACUCCGUG
rnacentral:rRNA from 1 species